CGCUUUGGCAGUGUGGUUAGCUGGUUGUGUGGCCAACUGACAAAUCACAGCCACUAUCUUCACUGCCGCCGCGA
ncrna:Drosophila grimshawi microRNA dgr-mir-34 precursor